rnacentral:rRNA from 1 species
GUGGGGAAUAUUGGACAAUGGGGGAAACCCUGAUCCAGCAACGCCGCGUGGAGGAUGAAGGUCUUCGGAUUGUAAACUCCUGUUAGGGGGGACGAAGGGAUGUCGGUGAAUAGCCGGCAAACUUGACGGUACCCCCAGAGGAAGCCCCGGCUAACUCUGUGCCAGCAGCCGCGGUAAUACAGAGGGGGCAAGCGUUAUUCGGAAUUAUUGGGCGUAAAGGGCGCGUAGGCGGCCUUGUAAGUCUUGGGUGAAAUCCCUCAGCUCAACUGAGGAACUGCCUCGGAAACUGCAAGGCUUGAGGCCGGGAGAGGGUAGUGGAAUUCCCAGUGUAGCGGUGAAAUGCGUAGAUAUUGGGAGGAACACCGGUGGCGAAGGCGGCUACCUGGACCGGUUCUGACGCUGAUGCGCGAAAGCGUGGGUAGCAAACAGGAUUAGAAACCCCUGUAGUCC